rnacentral:sRNA from 1 species
GCACUGGUGACAACCCGGAUGUGGCUC